GGCCUGGCCUAAAGUGCGCGGCUUACGAAAAGGUAAGCGGUUAGGUUGACUUUGCCCCCAUUUUUGCCUUUUUCUGAAUCGGAAGAUCAUCCAAUUUUUUUUCUCCGCGGGAUCUCUCUUUCCCAGCCACUAAGGUUCCGUUCGGUCCUCUUCCCCACCUUGAGGACCAAAGGUUGAAGAAGGGUUUUGACUAGUGCAUUUUCUCACUGAUUCCACUGGUUCUCGAUUGCUGUACACAACCACAUCCCGGUGAGGCUAGAGAAACUGGAGCUCCUAGGGAAGAAGCACUAUGGAAAGAAGGGCGUCGAAAGGCACGCACCUCGAAGGCGGACUUGUACUUGUAGCGUCAGCAUCAUCCCGAAACUCAUGAUGUAGCAGCCAUUUUUACAAGGCUACACCACCUGACCGGGGGGCUGUUGUUUGCUCACCACUGGGAGAUGGAACCAUAUCCAAUCAAUGGGGCUUCUUUGUUCAAUCUCUUGAGGUCGAAGAAAGGAUUGACGGCCUGUUGAUCAAGGAAAGCCAAAAUUCAGUCUUGCUUCUCUAGCUUGGGUUGUCUUCCCGGAUCCCUGCUUCUGGUUCUGGUUGUGGAUCUGCUUCUCCAGUGACGGGCGAGAGAACACUGCGAACAGUGCACAUCUCGUCUUAUCCACUUCUUCAUCUUCAGGAAAGACUCGCGUUAAAGCAGCUUGCUAAGAGUGGAAAGGAAGAGAGAGAAAUCCCCCUUUUUUAGGGGUCUAGAGGAAGAAGAAGCAAUUGCGCAACAAGCCCCGUGACCGGGAUAGGGAUAGGAAAGAGUGUGAUUGGUUGGGGGUGUCGUUCUACGCUCUCGUCACCCUUAUCCUGUCCUUGACCUAUCUAUUUUGCCUAGCGAGCGUACAGCGUACGUACGUACAUAGGCUCAUUCGCUGAGUUGUCAACGAAGAGUGAGAGUAGUGCAAUGCCACCAGUCAACAAUCAAUCAGGUACUGCUGGCUGGGUCAAAAACCGUUCAAUGCUUCUACUGUUCCCUGGUAUCCACGUUGUGAACUCCGUAAUAAGUCCUUAUGAAGUAUUUUUUUCCAGACAGGAGAUCCCGAAAAGGUUGGUUCUGCUUUCUUUUGUUUUUUUUUGCAUCCCAAUCAGUAUUUCUCUCCAAAGCCCGCUCUCCUCUGGUUUCAAUCUCCAUAACAGCUUGGCAGAUAGUGCUUUGUUUGCCCAUGUUUCGAAUGGAAAGGCCGCUUUUUGUCACUUUAUUUUUACCGAUUAGCGAAAAUGGGUUCUUUUCCCGCCCCCCGACCAAAAACACUUUUUGAUCAUUCUGCUCAGCCAAAGUCUUUGGAAUAGACAGGAUCGAGGCUCUAUAGAUUACCAUGGCCGAAAGUUUGGAUUUCAUGAGGGACACUAUGCCGGCCAAGGUCAGCCAUUGAUUUGCCCAUCCAUUCUUCCGGAUCCAAAGUACAGAGCAAUGGAAAUUCAGGGCCUUUGAUUUAUUUUCUCUCAAUAUAGGAAAAUUUCCAAGGUGCCGAGUCCCCAAUCUGAUAAGGUUCCUUGCAACUCUUCUUCGAAUUGGCAUCGGGGGGAAGUCUAUUUGACAUUUCUGCGGAUUGUUACGUGCAUAAGCGAGGCGCCAGAGGCUGUCGAGAAUAGAGAUAUAGCUUCUUUGAAGCGCCUCCCUUUCCUGCUACUUGUGCUUGCUUACUGGACUGGCUUGGCGGGCUCCGGAAAGAAGAUCUUCUUUUCUGAACUGCUUCGUUCUCGGCCUGGCUGGACUGCCUCCUCCAUAACAGGUACUGGUGCCGCUACCUAUGCUGCUGAUACUAAGCUGGGAUCUGCUUCUCGGUCGGAACUAGUGCUGCUCGACCUUACUUCUUUUUGCAAUACAGAAAAUCCAUUCAAAGGCAAAAGGAAAGCUUACCUAUAAAUGCGGAAUUCUCUCUUUAAGGCUAAGGCUUCACUUCAAGCAAGCAAUUGUUCUCUUCCACCGACACAGGGAUAAAGAAAGACUGGUUCCCCCUUUCGAACUAGAAAAUCCUCUUUCCCCUAUAACCCCCUUUCACUCAAAUAAUGAAGUUCCGAGAACAACCUCCUUUAGAGUCAUCUUAGCUUGAUGUGCCGGAUGUUCCCUUACUUAGUAGGACGGGUCGGUCUAUCUUCCAAUGUUUAGGACCGACCAAACCAAUGGAUAUGUUUGGGAUAAUGAGGAACUGAACCAGCAGAGAUUAGAAUAGAAUGCCUGAGCUUAUGUCUUUCGGGGCUUGGUCUGACUUCUUCGCCAGCUGGCUCGCAUUCCAGUGUGGAAGUCGAAUGAAAAGCAAUUUCAAUCUUUCUUAUUAAUUACCCCUCCGGGGGCCCCGGUUGAAGCACACAUUGGAACAUCAGUACCGGCAUUAUAACAAGUUUCACCAGCUAAUCUCCAAUCCCCAUAAUUGGCGAAGCAAGCAGAGUCACAGGCGAAGGUAGGCGAAUCAUGCUCUGAAGGUAAGACAAACCUGUCAUGAAGCACAAGGAGAAUUCGGUGGGCUUAAGGAGCUGCAUUAAUCUUUCUAGUGAUGUGAAAUGCGUUCUUUCUUAUACCGGUCACAGUCGGUCUAGCCGCACCGGGACUUAACCAGAAGGGAGAAUGACAUCCGUCUAGCUGUAGCUAGGAAUCCGGCUGAAACCACCAACAUCUGAGUUGAGCAGAAUCGCUUUCUUCCAAUUAACCAUUGUAUGCCAAAGCAAAGGAGUUCCUCUUAUGGGAUCGAAAGUACUAUAAAAAUGGAGGAGGCCGGAUGGAAGACUCAAUUAUGGGAACGAAAGGAUCAAGCGAGAGGAAUAGACACGUAAGAAAUACGCCACGCCAGUAGGAAGACUGCAGCUUUGAUAGACUGAUCGAUCGAAUAGAGAUAGCUUAGGUAAAAUAUGUUGGUAGGCCCUUGGUUGCAAAGAAGAAGAGCCCCUAUGAAGAGAACUCACGCUUGACACCCCGUUCUUAUGCCGUGUAAAGCGCAUUUUCAGAAGAGUGAUUGGCUUGCAGCCAUAGUGUGCACCUAGAAGUGACUUCUUCAUCUUGUCUUGAGUAAGAAGCUGGCCUUGGUUGAAUAAGCAGCCGGCCCUAUAGUAACGGGAAUAGUAGAAAGGGAAAGAACCAUUUCGAAAGCUGCGACUUGCCACUAAAAAGAAGCCAAAAGCAAAAGCUCUCCGGGCACACAUGGGCAGAUACUAUUUAGUAGAACUUUAAGCGUACCUUGCGCUUCUUCCCGCUUUGGAACUUUUUUCUUUUAAGUCCAAUCCUAGUGGCAAUAGAAAACAUUCAUCGGGAUUGACUGCCCUGCUUUCUUCUGCCUCCGUUUGUUCCUUCAGAGAAGACCGACUUCUGCUGCUGCCCGACCCCGUAGUUGAGCAUGCCUUCCCGACUCGCUUGACUCACGGCACAAGAGGAUGAAUUGAAAGAAAGAGCUAAAGCUCCCAUUGGAAAGCACUGCUGGAAGAACAGAGGCCGACUCAACAAUAGGAAUUUCUUAGCCCGCCAAUCAACGUUAUUGUUCAUGCUUCUUUUUGAAGGAGAGAGAAGCCUGUAACUCCUAAGCCUUCUUAAUGAAGCUGAAAGAAAAGUUGCAGGUUGAGCAGCACCAGUUCCGAACCCGAACAGUAGCAGUUCCAAUAGGAAAAACAAUCACAAGCAGCAGUCCUGAUUACCAUUCAUAUAGGACGGGACGGUUGACCUUCUUUCAGUCCUUCUUCAAAAGAUUCGUUCGUGCAAGCAAGCCGCCUGAUUGUGUUCGGUUAAUGACUGCUUUCUUUCUUAGCAUUUGUUUGAGCGAGAGACAAAAUCCCCGACAAACAUCUUUCCGGUCAUAGCAAAGCAUCAGUCAAAGAUGUAAGGCAGAAAGAUGAUAGUUGAGUAUAGCUUGCGUCCCUAACAGAUGUAAGGCAGUUAGAAAAGAUCUCCCUUUUGGCAGUUCAGCCACUAGUAAAAAAUGCUAUCUCGGUAUCGGUAAGCUCUUUCCUGGCUGAGACGGAACAAAUACCAUACCAUACCCAACAGCGAACCAAGAAGGGAAUGAAAAUGUGGGGCUAGCUUCACAAUCGGCCACAGGAGAGAAGUCCUGAGGGGCAUACCAUCUCAUUGGUUUCUGAGCUUUCUCAUAAGAACAACUGAGAAAUCCUUCACUGCCACAACUCUUGAUGAGCCUGCUCUCGUCACCUAGCUAGUCUAAGCACAUUCUGUGAAAGAGCUGUUCUAUAGAAGCAAUCAAUACCAAUUUCUGGAGAUGCCCUACUCCUUCUCAUCCUAUCAGUCCAUAGGGAGACUUCCCUUCCCCAAACCAGACCUAGACUUGAUCCAUAACCCUUGGGCUUUGAUGAAACUGUCUGGCAUGGUUCUUGAUCCUGAUCCUAGCUUUCACUCUUUGGGCUUCUAGUCUUGGAUGCCGAUAGGAGGUGAAGCUCUGACCAAGGAUGUGUAUCCAGUUCUUUUUUGUGAGCCUUAUUCCUCUAGGCCAAUCACAAGCAGAGGUACCAAAACUCUGAAUACAGCCCCUUUUCUAGGAGACCUCCUCUGCCUGCUAGAAUGAGCUGUAUGAGUAGUAUCAUAACCUUAUGGUUGUUCGUUCCUCUCCUCUGAGCCGCAAGCCAAGGUCCAGUCCCUGUUAUCAACCAGUUCUUCUGGUUGUUCCCGGUAAAUCAUAGAAUAGAAGAAGAAUAGUGAAAUCAUAGAGGAAGGUAUUCAAUAAGGUAUGAACAUUCAUUAGUGAAUUCCACUCCCUUUCUUUUUUGAAGUCUUUGACAUAGAAAAUCGGCAUUGGGUUUGUGUUUAGCUGUGGCUUUGAUUCUCACAGGAAUAGCUGGUCUGAGAUUUUGAUGUUCCUGCUCUUAUGACUGCUUCAAAAACUUUGUACUUUAUGUAGUUCUCCCAGGCCUCUGAGCUUUUGGGCUUUCGAGAUAGGCACUUCGCUUCCUGGACUAUUUGAGGUUUUAGGAAGACGCUUCUAGGCUGAGGCUUUCGAAACUAGGCUUUCCAGGCUACUAACGGAAAGCGCCAUAGUGCUUCUUAACGUAGCGAGCCUACACAGGCGGGUGCUUUCGCUAUCUAUAUAGGAAUUCUACUUCCUGUUCGAGUCGUAAGAGGAGAAAAAACGUCGGUUUAACGGAAGCUGGUGUUAGGGUAGGGUUUAGAGUUUCCCUGUUUGAAAGACUAAGGAUGUAGGGAUAAAGAAGAGCCCUAGGGGAAGCAGGAGAUUGAGCUAGACCAGACCUUGAUACUCACCUUCGUCGGGAAGAUAUCGACUUUGAUAACAGCUUGAUCCAGAUCUAGCGCUGACCUUUGACGGGUGAUCUCCCCUUUCCAAAAUAGAGGACUUGGGAGAGUUUGAACGACUGAUUGAUCGAUAAAAUCCGGGGCUGAGGACCUAACUUGUUGAGCAAAGCCCAUCUUUUGAGACUACGUCUUUCAUCUUCAACCAGACUCUUUCGAGUCGAAAACCCUUCAUGAACCUUUCAUUUUUCGCCUACUUGUGACGAAACCCCAUAUUUUUGUCUUAACUUCUUUCUGUCUUCCUUCGGGCUGGAGAUAAAGCGGAGCUCAAAGCGAGGAGGGACUAAGGGCGAGUGACCACUUGCGGAAUAAUCACUUGAGAAAGCCAUUAACGGGCCUAAAGAACCCAAAUCUUGAUCCGAGAGAGGAGAGAUCAAUCCUAAAAGCUGAACCACAUUCACAGUAGGAUUGAUUAGUGUCGUGAAAGAGGGAAGAGAAAGAGCGAAAACUCACUGAAAGAGUUGCUCAAGUCCAGAAGAAUAUCAAGUAUUUUAAGAGAAGAAGUUAUUCAUUAUGGUUCCAGGCCGUGUUUGCGAUCUAUUCGGUCAGUGCUCUCGGUGCCAGCUAGUCUUCUAUCGGGGCUCUUGCUUUCGGCUAGUGUUCUCUUGCUCUGGAUAGUCUUAUUAGGUCUAAACUCCUUGACUUUCAGGAAGUACUCCCUCGCUCGGUUUAAUGAAUGUAGGUAGAAAGAGCUUCGGGCUGGACCUGGCCCCCCAAAAAAACUGGGGAAGAUCGACCAAUCCUCGCAUUAUCAUCGGCCUUUGCUCUUGCUGCUCUUCCUGACCUGACCUUUCCUGUACAAAAGAGGAAAUCUCCUAAAGUCAAGCCAGAGAAAUUUCGAAUCCAGGCCACAGGGAGAGCAGUACAGUAAGUUCUUCUAUGUGGGCGACUAAAGAAGGGCCGCAGCUCUCAAAGAAGCCUUGUACAUAGUGUACAUAGUAGGGGUGUCUCACUGUCGACGUUUUCGAUUUCGGGCCAAAGACGAAAGAAAUCAACGAGAAGAGUCUGCCUCUCAGUCUGUCUAAAAUUCCUACGUGGAUAGUAGGAAGAGAGGAAUAAGAUUAAUGAAAAGGAUGCAUCGAGGUUCGAAGGAGUUGUCCUCCUGUAUGCAUAACAAGAUCUCUCUUACCAUGUCUCAUCCAUACGUGGUUUAAGUUGUUAACUCUAUAGAAAUAAAAGAAGCUAUAGAGCCAUAACAUUUGCCUUCAUUGCUUCGGUGUACGGUUGACAUCGAUAAGGGAAUGCGUCCUUGGCUUGUACUUUUUAGUUGGGCCCAAUGGUCUAACUUAUGGUUGCCAUGACCUUGAUCCGAAUAGGGGUCGAAAUCCAUAGUUGCACCAAGAACCGUAGCACCAAUCCUACAAUAUGGUUGCAGCCAGAGGAUGGGCCGAAGCACCAAGUAGGAGAGGUCAGAGUAGUGGUCGCCGACUGAAAGAGAUUCGAGGUUGGGGCAGGAUAGUCUACGUGACGAAGAAGUGAGGAAGAAAGAAUCAAGAGAAAUGGGUUUAGCACGGACUUAUUAGGCCAAAUAUAGAUGUUGAAGAAGAUUAAGACGCAAAGCACAGGCAAUGGGCCCGCACCAGAGAAGAAGAAAAUGAAAUGUCUAGAAUCACAAAUUCUGUAUCCGAAAUAGACGACUAAAGGGGCCCAGUACGCAGGGUCGAGAUAAAAAGAACCUUCGACAUCGGGCUGGCUCUUUGAUCCUCGACAGACCAAAGCGAAUAGACCGUCCUCCUCCCUUGGUACAGCUAUAGCUGCCCUAACCCUUAGCCCUUUGCCUUGGCUGUUCGAAAGCCACACUAACAAGUGGAGGAGGGGGUUCAAAAGCAACUGUGACUCAUGCAGUAGACAAAGUAAUUUCGACUCAAAGAUAAAGGAAAUCCCAUUGAGUAGUUCCAUAUUGGGGAUAUCGGAAAAAUGAAAGAAAAAGGGCUUCUUUGAGCAGUUAGGUUAGGUGCGAAAGCCCAGUAUGGGGGUUGUGUACAGUGGAUGUUGGGGGGGUACCAUCUCGGUUCAAGUGAAUGCAUCUGAGUUAGCAAGCAGGUCGGGUACAAGAGAAAAAGAAUGUGAUCUUCAGGUUCUGAGUGAGCUGGGCAGUCAUUCUCCUACUCCUUUCUAUGUCUCCUCCUCUUAUGGAAAAUGGGAAGUCGGACUUAGAAUCUGCUUAUUCAAUCUCUUGUCCAGAUUAAUCUCUCACUCCACCAGGGCAGUUGGCUUUCGCGAAGCAAGAAGGAGUCAGUUCAUCAAUGCGCUACGCUAGUCAUCACCAUUGAGUGCUGGAGCAAGAAUUCUAUGAAAAGGGGAGUCAGAGUUUCAAAAAAGCCACUGAAAUCGAGUACAUUGAGAGAUCUUCGGAUUUUCGGUCUACAGGUCGCGCAUCAGUCCCAUAUGUUCCCAUCGAUACAAGAUUCGGAAAUGAUUUGUUGCAAUCUUUGACUGUGGAAGGAGAUCUGCACUAGGCUGAGAUUGGUCCUCUGUUUUCAGCAUCAAGGGAUAAGAGAGCACCUGUUGGAUAUGCAAACAAGAGAAUGGGCCAUACGGGUGCUUUAGAUUACCAUAACGAAGAUCUAAACUAUGCCAUCGAAAGAGAGCUUUCGUAGGUUACGUCAUUCUAAAAAUCAAGCGGGAAUGUAGACUAAGUGAUCCGUAGUUCCAUAACCACAUAGUGGAAAGAAGGUUCUUAGUGCUUUCCUUCGGUACGCAAAACCGGACCUUCGUCCAACAGUUAGUUCUAGCUAUGGGGAAUUUGAAUGAAAAGUGGUGCACCCGGCCUUGAGCACUCCCGUUCGAAGCCAACAGGAGCUGAAAGAUUUCAUUGACAGUGUAGUGGUGAUAGUCUCACCUUGGGCUAUGCUUUCAACUGAACCAAAAUAGGCAUAUCUGCGCUAAAAGUCCGUCAAGAAAACGAACUUGAUUGAGCUAUGUCAGCAGGGGAUUGCUCUGAUUCACUUUCUCUUACUCGUUCUAUGGAAAGGGAAUCCGGGUAGUCGUUUUCAAGCGUGACCAUCAAUCGGGUUAGAAAAGAAAAAGGUAUUUCUUAAACUGGAAAUGUGCUCUAUGCUUCAACCACCAUAUUCUCCCUUUUUCAAAUUGGAGUCAGCCUCUUACCCAUUCCUUUGAGGUUGGUGGAAAGUGUGAGAUCCGAAUCACUUUCUUAGUCUGCUUAUAUUCUUCUUGUUCGGAUGUGUCACCUACUUUACUUCAUUGGGAGAGUUCUAUCCCUCAACGGCGGCAAGCAAGGUCGGUUGAUUGAAUGAUUCGAAAAAUGAAAAGCAGUAGUACUUCACCUAGAGAGAGAAAGCCAAUAAGACCGUGCUAAGUAAGAGACGGAAAGCACUCACUGUGAUGAAUAGUUACGUACAGACUACACAGAGGCAACUAAUGGUCGUGUACCCAAGGUCAGAUGAUGACAUCAGUGCUUCCAAGCAUAGGUCAGAGAAGGAGAUCAAAUCAACACUGAGAUGGCCUCCUCCUCGGUCCGCUUCUGAGGAUCUCUAGUUGGCGGGGGCAGCUAACAAGGCCUACUUCUCAACCGGUUCACCAGAAGGGCUGCUUAUGGGAGCAAGGUCACUAAGGUGACUAAUCCAUCAUCAAAAUAGUAAAAGGCAGGAAAAGACUACAAUGCCACAAGCCAUGUACAACAGAGAAAAGAAAGUGCAUCUCACUACCAGUGCCGUCAAGAUGGGGUACAAGCACCUCUGGAACAGCAAGUUCAACUUCUGGAUGCUUAAACAACCACACCCUUUCCUGCGCCUCGCCUUCGUGGUAGGCCGUUCUCGGCUAAUGCCAUUUCGAGGGCUAAACGAGACGAGCCCCAGACGAGAAUCGCAGCUAAUCCUUAAUGCUCAUCAGAGCAGGGAUCUUCUUCAUGUGAGCGACAAUACCGUACACCAUCAUAUCCCUCCUAGAACGAGGAGGAGGAGGAGCAUCUUUCUUCGGUUUAACAGACUUGGGGGAAAGUUCUUCGGCAGGCUCGGCGUGAUCACGACUGGCUGACUUACCGAACGGACUACAUACACCGACUAGCCACUGAACGGACGGACACUUUGAUCUUGAUCGUGCAAUCUAAGUCGCAAUGAAGGACUAUCGUCAAUGCGGCUGGAGCCGCUAAAUCCCACAGCAAGUAUUCUCAGUCGGCGAAGGCUAGAUCCCAUGGUUGGAGUUUUACCUCUUUGAAGAAAGAGCGGACGUCACUCGUCUGUAUCACAUCGAGAAACAUCCUAUAUAAGUCAGAAAAGCAAAAUAGAGAAAAAAGUGGAGUUUUCAAGUCAAGCGAGAAAGCAAGUGGAUCAGAAAAUUAUCUCGUGCUGGUAGCGAGAAGGAAGUAGGCAGAUUGAGAGAUUCUUUCUUUCCAGGCUCCGAGGCAGAUGAAGAAAACCUAUCUCUUUCCGCUUAGGUGCCGUCAGAGAACUCGUUAGUCAGUAAAGCCCACGGCAGGUGCUGCUCUUAGUAAAGCAAGCAUUAGUAGUAUCGAGCUCGGUACUCGGUUGAGGGCUAGUCUUGUAUUUCGACGGUCUUUUAUUACUUUGAUUUUUUGAUUCAAAACUGAAAUUCGAGUUUUUAUUGAUUUGGUAAGAUAAGAAUGGUCUUCCUUAUUCUCAUGCUGUUCCUCAUCCCGCAUUUCCGAAGGGGGAUGUCCUUCACUGCUACAACACAAGCUAUAACUCCUUGUUUACCACUCAACCGAGGAAUCUUCUUAUUUGGGUAGAGGAAGAGGAAAGCUAUUAAGACGACUUUUAGCUACAAGCGUAAUUAAGCCAACCAGAUUGCGCAAACGCCUUAAAAACUAUAGUAGCAGCUAACUAAUAGAGAUGCUGCCGGAAGAAGCAGCAAGAGGAUGAAAAGCAAGGAGCGAAAGAGGGCCGAAAAGGAUCCUUAAUUCAAAAUGAAGGCACACUCGCAGGGAAAUGUGGUAGACCGCUAAGCAGACAAGAAGAAAUCCUUUCCACAUUAGCACUUGAGCUCAGAACAUUUUUUGGAGAAAAAAGACUCACAAGGCAUCUAAAAAAGAAAAGAAGUUUACCAGGUUAUCUAUGAAAAGGGCUUUCACUGGGCUUCUUCCUGAAGAUAUAUUAGGCCUUAAGACGAUCACAAUCACAACCUAUGGAGACAAAUAAACGAGGGCAAACAGAGAUAUGAAAGUAGAGAGCUAACCGGAAAAGACCCAUUGAAAGAAGGAAUUCGCGCUUAUCAUAAACUCCCAGUCGUGAACUUCCUUUACAAAACCAAGAAAGUAAACGAGAGGAAGGGGAGUCUUCAUUAUACAGGAUGGCGAAUCGAUAGACCUCUUCCCUAUUGUCGACAGAUAGGCUCGUACUUCUUUUCUUCUUCCUCUUGAAAGUUCUCUCUCUUCAUUGAUUGAUUUCGUUUCCAAUGAAAGAACUGAAAGAUAAAGAGAAGGUUCCCUCGGGGAAUCGAAGAAGGCACUGAAAGAGAUAGUGAAACUGGGGCAAGAAGAACUGAAGGUUCAAAAGAUUUAAUGAUUGCUGCUGGUAGCCGGUCUGCCGGUCGAUAAGCAGCAGCCACAUCCACCCUUCUCUUCUAAAUUUCCUAGUUUUCUAAAUCUCGAAGAUAAGCAAGGUGUCUAUCCGGGGAUUCAUUCCUAUUCGAGAACCGCUUCACCGAAAACAUGGGGCAAAAGCAGUCUUUGGCGGUCGAGGGGAACAGCCUUGGAAUUGGUCAUUUUUGAAUGACCUUUCCAAUCAAGAAGAAUAGUUCGCCUUUCCCUGUCUUUGAACUGUUUUCGAAUGCCUUGAAUUCCCAGAUGGGUGGAGGACUAGAGAAGUCGGAUGCCCGAAUAGAAUAUGAAAAUCAAAAGAAAUCUGUGUUGUUCGACUUUGAACCGAAACCGAUUCAAGAGCCCUUUUAUUUGAUAUGUUAUUAUUUUUUUUGCUCUUACUUUUAGCGAUUCCAUAUCAACUAAUGGAAUAAUAAUAAUAAUUUCAAUUAAAGGUUGAAGUAGUGCUUUUUUCUUAAAUUAGAUGAUGUUGUUCUACCUAUUUGUCUGCCGAGGAACGCAGUAGCUUUCUGGUUGAGUUGAGCGUAUGUCUUUGACAAGAUAUUUAUCCUCUGGUCUUAUUCCCGAACCAUCGGGUUGGUUGUCCCGCGCAGAUAUCUGUUGGGAUCUUUUGCAAACAUCGUCAUCUCAUAGAGAGGCUUUCCUCAAUUCCCUUCCCUUCAAAGUAGGCGAUAGGCGAUAGAUGGCAUUGGCUUAAAUGUGAUAUCAGUUAGAAGGCACUUGCUUAGCAGCUUUAGAAAAUGAGAGGCAAAAAUUGAUCAAUCUUUCUCGCCAGUUUGGGACUCUCCAUGCGUAUGGUGCGCUCGUCAAAAUAGGGAAAGGUCUUUUUUUAAUUACCCAAUGCGAUUGCACCAUUUUCGGGACCUCUGAUGUUGGAAAGGACUAUAUGUACAGCAUCACCUUCAGGUAUUGAAAAGGUCGCUCUUGAUGCAAGAUUCCUCCACCGAUGGAUGAAGUCAACAGUACUUUCUUUGAUCCCCGUAAAUGCCUCUGAGAAAGGUUAAUCAACUCGAUCAAGCACGGCGGACGAUCUGCUUGGUGCAACUACUUUAUGAUGAAUAAGUCCACCACAUCCUCAAACGUUCGGAUUGCAUGAAUGGGGAGAGAUAAGAACCAUCGUGCGGCGCCUCCGACUUCUGAAAAAGGUAGAUCAACAUCCCCUCCUACCUCCUCUACGUUCUUGACAGCCCAUCUUUGUCUCAGUAGAGUCUUUCAGUGGCAUGUUUCGGUCCUCUUUCCCAUUACUUAGAAAAAGUGAGCCACCGGUUCAGGUACAAGAUACUAUCAUUAUCGCCUGGACAAUUAGACAUCCAACCCGUAAUCGCAACGACCCAAUUGCAAGAGCGGAGCUCUACCAACUGAGCUAUAUCCCCCCGAGCCAAGUGAAGCAUGCAUGAAGGAGUCAGAUGCUUCUUCUAUUCUUUUACUUAGCGCAGCUGGGCCAUCCUGGACGUCGAACCAGAGACCUCGCCCGUGAAGUAAAUCAUCGCACCUACGGUCCAACCAAUUGGGAGAGAAUCAAUAGAUUCCUUUUCGGGAGCGAUUCAUCCUUCCCGAACGCAGCAUACAACUCUCCGUUGUACUGCGCUCUCCAAGUGUGCUUGUUCCCCUCCGUCUUCCUUACCAUGGCAAGUCUUUGUGAAAGAACUCCGAUGAGAAGAAAAAAGAAGGCGUUAAGAGAACCCUCCUGGCCCAACCCUAGACACUCUAAGAUCUUUUUUCAAAUCCAACCUGCUCCCAUUUCGAGUCAAGAGAUAGAUAAAUAAACACAUCCCAUUGCACUGAUCGGGGUCGUUCGUAGUGACUGAGGGGGUCGAAGACCAAGAAGUGAGUUAUUUAUCAGCCAAGCAUUCUUCUUAUGGCUAGAUCCAAUCUCCUGGUCCCUGCGGAAAGGAAAAAUAAUUUCAACUUCUUCUUUUCGGAAAGGGAGGAUUAGGAAAAUCCUAUUGAUUGCUGCUUUAUCCAGACCUCCGGGAAAAGCAUGAAAAAAAAAGCCUAAAAACUCAAGCAGGGAGAACUAAGCUAAGAAAUAAAGCAUUGAAAGACGUUCACCGAGUCCUUCUAUCAAGGGAAGAACUCGGCUUACUUACCAGGAAUGCACCCUAAGGGAAAGUUCCUGAGUUAGUCAAAAAAAAUCAAUGAAAGUACAAUCAAAUAAAACAAGAGCACUACACGCUCCCUACGCGCUCCCAUACAGCGAAAAGAAAGCGCAUUCCACACAACUUCCGAAAACUAUGUGUUCAGUGCGCCACACAUACGCGAUGAAUCAUUUGUGAUUUAUUGCUUUAGUAAUCACUAUUCGUUCGUUUCGAAUGGACUCAUUGCAGUAAAUUCUGAGGAUCGUAUCUGCAUCUUACACCACUUCCACUUCUGUUUUCCUUCCUAAAUGAGAGGAGGCUUGCUUCUGGCUUUAGAAUAACACCUUUCAAACCGAAUGAAUGAACCAGCGAAGAGUUAGGAUCGACGGGCUGGUCGAGCUAGCUCUAAUCGAACUGUGACAUCACGUAAAGUAAGUGUCACGCGAAUAUAGAGAAAAAGAUUCAAAAAGAGCGCCGUGCUAGAGUGCAGGCGCUUCAGCAACGGGAAAGACGUAGCUUUUGAAUCAACGAAGCACAAAGCUUAUUUAUGGUAAGGCGGCGGAGAAGUUUCAUUUCAUAUUUCAUAAGAGAAGCAAGGUCCACAGAAGGUUAGGAAGGAGUAUGCCCGGUUCACCAGGUUCUACCACUGCAGGGCCCAAUCAUAGUCAAAAUCUGAGUUUGAUCCUGGCUCAGAAGGAACGCUAGCUAUAUGCUUAACACAUGCAAGUCGGCAUUCGGGUUCCUUCUCCUCUGGCAUACGGGGAAGGCGCGGGACUCCACUUCCCGAGACUAAGCAUAGAGUAAGCUGCCUGCAGAGCAGAACGUCGAGAUUCUCGAGUAUGCCCUGGCAGUAGAGCUCGCUGAAUUCGAAAAAGAAAAAGGAUACUUCGAACCAUGUUACGAAGACAGGACGGAUGUGAUCUGAGUUCCUAUGGCGAGAAAUUUGGCCUCCUCGUGGUUAAGAAAUAUCAAGAAUUCUUUCCUUAGUACAGUACCCAACAUAUGGGAUCGCCUCUGUCGAGCAGAUCAGACCUACAGCAGCUGAAGCCUCCUGGGAUAUCUGUUUCCCGUUAAUCAAGAAGGGAAUGAAAUUUGCAAGGAUGGGGAAAGAUCUAUCAGAGGUGGAGAGAAAGAGAAAUUGGCUUACUGGGCGAUCUAAAACAUCUUCGAGCUUUCAUCAAUACAUCUUCACUUCUCAAAGGGAAACAUGCGUCACUCAAAGAGAGGCUCGAGAAAGUUAAUGCAGACAUCGUAGCCGUAGCCUCCUUUGACAAAGUGAGUAAGAAGAUAAAGUUCGAUCAUCUCUAGUAAGCCAGCCCCCGGUGGGAAUAAGAAAGCCAUUUUUUCGUGGGGAUAGGAAGUUCUAGCUUCCUCCCUGGGCGGGAGUGAGAAAGAUGCUGCUAUCUUAGCAACUGGAUCUGAGACUGCUGCAACAACUGAUGUAGUUUCUACUUCCGUGACUCUCUAUGCCACUGCCACUAUCUCUGUCCCUACCGCUGCAACCUUCGCUCCAGUUAUUGGAGUCAGUGCUGCUUCCAUUGCUUUAGCAAUAUAUGAAACAGGUACCAGAACCUCUCGAUUUCUAAAAGUGCCGGCUCGUUCUUCUAAUGGAUCGAAAGGUCAAACCAGGCUCCUUUUACGUACCUUUAUUUAUACCUAUAACGGGACACCACUAUUGGAGAGAAGCUCUAACCACCACUGGAUAUAGAACCGUUGCUGGUGGAACCGGAACAGCCCGAAGAUUCGAUCAUUUUUUGUAUAUAAAUUAUAGGGCCUGCCCGUAGAUGUCUAUCCCGUGGUGGCUAUAGAUUGUAUAUUCACUUUAUUUGGAUCUGAAAUGAGUUCUGCGACUAUAGGAUGGAUCUAAACCUGGAACUGGAAACCCUCCGAGGUGUGUAAGUGCUUAGGCAACGAAAAAGAAAUUGGAAGAAGGCACAGCUAGUGAACCAAUGACAAAGACUUUCUUUUCUCCCCAUCUCUCUCUGAUACUGAGGGCUCUUGAUCUGGCUCAUAUGUAGGGAAUGAAAAUAUGUGUCAAAUAUGCGCUGUAGCUAGGACCUUUGCGUUUCAAGGGGAGGGGAGCUCCCAUCUAUCUUAAGUCUCAAGGGCGUAUGCCUUUUUGGGAACUCCACGACGGUUGGGAAUAGCGUUAGGCCCAGCAGCAGCGGUUCUUAUUCCUCCGGACAGGCAACGUUAGGCAGCUAGUCCCAAGCAACUAAGUGUAAAGAGGACGAAGGAGAGGAUGGUCGUUUUUUCGAGCAGUAGACCUGCCCUAAGGAUAGGACUCUUUAGGAAGAGGGCUGCUACUGGCGAUCACUCAACCAAAUUUGCAAGCAGCCCAAAAGAUUUUUAGCACUCGGGCAGGCGCUCAGAAGUCUUUAUUGUUUGGCUAUCUUUUCGGGAAGGAUGAUGAGAAAUACGUAUAUCAUUUUUUAUAGACUCGGCCGGUUGACUCGAAUGAAAAAAGAAAUAGGAGGGUUAACUAGACAAAGACGAAUAAACGCACCAAAAUCUCGCUCAUGGCGGGGAUGAUUCACAUCCAAAAACGCUGGAAUGACGAGACUUCUUCCCCAGCGCUUAAAUGCAGCAAUAAUGGAACGCAUCGGCCGGGCACAGCUACGCAUGGAAGACGGUCAACUUUACUGAACUGAACAAAGUGGUUGUUUUCCUACAGGGGUUUGAAAUGCACCCCAAAAUAGUCAGGCGUGGGGAAUAUGAUAUCCACCCCGACUGUUUUAGGGAAGAGACGACUGUAUUGAUGAUAUCAUCUCUUCUAUCUCCCCUUCUUUAAUGGCAGAGGGCGAACCCUCUUCGUGCAACUCUUCCCGGGAAGUGAAUUGGCUUCUUCUCCUUUUUCAGAAGGACUGAGUGAGUGGUCCUUCCUCUUCAAGCUGUAACCACCACUUGUCCUCCAGAUCGAUUUCCAUCUCCUCGCUAAAAAGAACCUGGCAUCCGCAGGGAUGCGGCCUUGGUGAAUGAUUGGUCCAACGGCGGCUCCGGCGGUCUUGGAACAUAACAUAGAGAUCUGCCCAGUUGAUCUUCGGCUUAAAAAGAUCAAAUUCUUUUUCAUUCUUGGGGGCGCCCCAUCUUCUAAAAUCUUCUCUCAGAGUUGUUGUCACCGAUGGCUCUUUCAUCAGGUCAGCAGAGGAGCAUUGCAUGCUUGCUUGCGGUACCGUUGUCCCAUCCUUUCUUCUUCUUCGUCAUACAACGGAAAACACUUCGUCCAGUGCUCAGGCUUCUUCUUCGAGGUUUGGUCCUACUUCUUCUUUUUUUUUCUUACGAAAAAGGGAGGGGAGCCUUAACCCGAAUUCUAAACCGGCGUGGCACUGCCUUCUGAUCAAUAGAACAGGAAGAGGAUAAAAUAAAGACCACCAAAAGUCACGACCACCAAGAUACGCAUAGUGAUUCGAUCUUUUGAAAACCCAUUUUUUGAAAAAAACCAUUUUUGGGGGCUUACGCGUUACACACGGAAGAUUGGAUUGCCUGAAUCACGAGUCUUAUAUACAGUGUUACGAUCACCUCAUAUUGAUAAAAAGUCCAGAGAACAAUUUGAAAUGGAAAUCAAGAAAAAAUUUUUGGUCAUAAAAACGGAAACGCAUGAAUUGCGCAAGAAGUUCUUUCGGUUAAAACGCCGUGCGACUCGGAGGACAUAAGACUUUUUGGUCAGGCCCAAAAUCUUGCCGACUGGAUGCUCCUACCCCACCAUGCCUAGCCCUUUACCUUAAGAAGAGGAGAGGAGGUAUGAAGCGUGGGAAACUAUGCUAUAAGUGUAUGAUACAACAUGUUACCUUAAGGAGUGGCGGCAAAACUCUUAAUUGAUCAACGCGAGUGAACUGUGCUUAGACGCUUCGUAAAACCGCACCGCAUCUACGAGAGGAGCUGAUGGAUGAGUGGGCUUCCCCUUUCGAUUCACGGAAUGUGAUCUGGGACACGAUGGGAGUUAGCGUGCCUCGGUAGGCAAGAGAUCACCGGAGUAUAGCACAAGAUCGCCUUUUCUUGCUGCCAUGGGGUCAACCUGUGAACAAAGUAAACCCAAUGGGAUGGGAACCAAAAAACGGGAGGGUACCGCAUUGGGCAGAAGACGAUCCAAAAAGCGAAGGCUCACCCUUCAAAGUGCCGGGUGAGAUAGGCGACAGGUAGCUUGCUUCCAAGCCGGCCCGGCCGCGAGGAAUCAAGAGAUCUUUGCCGGUGCUGACUUGGAUCUCGGGUGACGGAAUAAGGCGGCCAGAAGCGACGAGCAGUCGCGGUCGAAGCUUGGCUCUAGCCGAUAGGCUAGCAGUAAGCUUGGCUACAGCGAAGCGCUUACCAAGCGCGAAGGAAAGGGCCUUCGCCACUUGAGCCGUAUGCGGGGGAACUCGCACGUGCGGUUCUUAGGGAGGGAGAACGUCGGUUGAGCCAUUCCAUCCCAAUAGCGUAUAUUUGGAGCUCAAUAUGAAAUCCGUCUUUCUUGCAAGACCCGUUCGGAUAAGGGCAAACUCCAGAGAUUGCUUCGAAGUAAGAUCCUUGCGUUGACCCUUUCCUCAACCAGAACCACAUUCUAUAUUGAUUGUCUCAUUAUUUUAGUUAUAUAUUUUUCAUAAAUGUCUUUUCUUACGCGCAGUGUCUGACUGUUCCCUGCUGUUGUGGCUUUCUCAUUCUUGUACUAGACCAACCUCUCGAUAUGCCCGAGAAAAAAGGAAGGUGGGAAAUCGACCAUUUCCCCGGGUGUCUUAGAACCCUCUCUAGGGCACCUCCGCAUUGCCAUGCUGCUGGGACGUACAAGUGCGAUUUUUGACCGAUUUUAUAGUAUUAUAGAAUGAGUUCUUUUUGGUAUUUCAAGUCUUUCUUUUAUUUGUCUUAUCCUGACUUCUUUAAAAAAAGUCAGUGAUUAGGGAAUAAGUAUAAGUAGUUCAUUACGGACAUCCCCCUCCCCCUCAAUGUCCGGGAUUCCUGUGCAUGCUCCCGAGGCAGGAGGGGCAAUCAAUAGGUCUGGGUCGUUCCCAAACCUCUAAGGGUGCAUUGGCCCCCCAAUCCAUUUACCGACAUAGCAACGGUCGAGUGCUUGGAAGGGAGAUCUCAGAAAAACCACGCCCGGUAAGGUCGGUUCAACUCCGCAUAGAUGUAUCGUAUCGACUCCUCCACCCGACGUCAAUCUCUCGGGAAUAGGGAGUUGUUACAGGUUUUUGGGGUUUCAGCCCCUAUCACGUAAGGCCCAGCUCCUGGACUGGCCCGCAAAGGGAAGGGCUUUGAAUGCCGAUUCCCACAUACAUACACCUCGAUUUUUAUACAGCUGGUCGGUCGUUACUAUUAUAUAUCCGGGGCGCGAGGAAAUAUCGGAAAAGCGGCUGGUCGUCUAACUUCACCAGUAGUAUCCCGGUUCUCGUCCCCGUCCACUAUUCGAUCGAGCAUGCAUUUAAGCCUAUUCCCCGCAGCCCUAUUGCAGGAAAGGCUCGAUGACUAAUCGCUUCAUUCUUUAGCCAAGCCCCAGCAAUUCCGGGUCGACCUAACGUUGAUACGUGGAUGAGAGCAGGACGACCAACUAUAUCGUUUUAGAAGUAGCGCUUGACUAGCCUGACUAGGGCUCAGACCCUACCCUAUUCUUCAACUUCGAGGUGGCGCUCCGCCCUAUCCAUGCAAAGCUCGGCAACAACCCUAUUUCUCUUUCAUUGCCUAGCUAACCAAUUCCGCUUUUCUGUCCCAUUGACAAUCGUCCACAGGUCCAGUUGCUCAAGCAAGAAUUCCAUCCUUGACUUCCAUUGUACAUGGCACCAUUCAACCUGUCCCCAACACUGAGUGUGGUCACUGACGUCAUUGGUACGACGGAUGUAGUCGCAGAGUAGACGGCUGACUUGCCUAAAAAAGAAAAAAUGGUUUUUGUGAUUCUCAUUUUUUUAUAGAUUCGGGUUUUAGCGGUUUCACCCAUGGAAUUAAAGAAAACUGCUCUGCUAUCCAGUCAGAGGCCAUCAGCCAUCCCGGCGUACUUUUUUUACGAGGAGCAAUCCGGAGGGCUACACGAGGACUAGGCAAUCAAGCUUUUCCAAACACAAUAGUCUCCUCAGUUUGGUAUUGCAAAGAUUCCAUCCUCGGUGUGACCAUAAAUAAAUAAAAAAAGAAAAAUGAAAAUAAAUAAAUAAGGAAGUACGUCGAUUCUGUUUGAAACAAAGACAGCAGGCAGGCAGACACGUCAAUGCAGGCACUCGUGAUUCCGGGGAAGGGAAGAAGCCACCCGGAUGCAUGCUCCUUACCUGUAUAGGCUUAGGGCUACCUUGCCUCCCGACUAGGAAGGAGAACAAGGUGUGGGGAGACACGAGUCAGCUGACAAGCAAUCAGAUCAUCCCCCUUCUCCUGGACCGGAAAAGAUGGGGUUACUUUACCCGGUUAAACUACUGAAGAUGUAAACUGAAAAGACGGGGCUGAUUGGCCCGAAGAUUGGAAUGACCCUAAAUGAGCUCCUUGGCUCAGGGAAGAUGAAGUAGGCUGAAAAAAGAGUUUUGACACAAAGGUGGGGCUCCUUGGCCCUUCCUGGAUGAAUUCCUUGGCUCGGAGUCGAAGCAAACUGAACGUCGAGAGGUGGGGGCUAUAAAGAUCCCAAUGAUUGAAGCGAUCCUAAGUGAGUAGACUGGAAAGAUGGUUGCUGAAGUGGGGCUCCUUGGCCCGGAGUUGAAGUAGAUUGAAAUUGAGCCACUUGGCUCGGGGAUGCUUGUUGAAGGGGGGCUCCUCGACCCGAAGAUGUAGCAGACUGGAAUUGAGUCAUUUGACUCGGAGAUGUUUGAUGAAACGGGGCUCCUUGGCCCAAAGAGAUGAUCGAAGGAGAGUGAGCCGCUGGGCUCGAUGACGCGGCAACAGUCAGUUGAGGAACGAUACCCGAGGAUGGGAUGGGGUUAGAGCUAGCUUCCCGGUCUAAUGGUUGGGAAGAAGAAGUUUUUCCUACAUGGAUGACAAGGGGAGGUCCAGUCCACGGGUGAACAGAUUGAGAGGAUCCCCCUUGGGAAUUGAAGUAGUUGACAGAUGAGGAUUCUUCAUCUCUAACCGCGGAUUUUGAGAAGUCCAUUCUAGAGCAAAUGGGCUUAUUGCUUACUCCCGGUUGAAAGAACAACCUCCUUUCAAUGAACACAUCUGGUUGGGAGAAGGAAGUUCCUAAGACAAUAGAGGGGUCGCGCCUAAUCGUCUUAGCUGGGUUAACCGGGGUUUCCUCAAGUCCCAAGAUCGUGUUUACCUGAUUACUACCUCCUCCUGAGCCCUUUGCUUCGUGAUUAGGAAGCGGAUUUGUGAAAAUCCCCAUAGACGGGUUUUGAGGAGGAGGAGCUUGGGCCUGAGCAUUCUGAUCAAAGUGAAGUUGUCCAGCCUUGACCAUGGAUUCGAUGACAUCUUGAAGAUUCCAACAUGAGUUGGUCUCAUGGCCAUAUGCUCGAUGAUAGGAGCAGAACGUCGGACAUAUUCACUUUGGUUAGAUCCUGAGGCCUUUGCUCAGGUAAAGUGAUCUUGCCUCCGGCUAAGAGUCAAUCAAGGAUUACUUCACAAGGAACAGGGAAGACUUUGUUUUCUCGAAGAGGCUUACGGGCAUUUGCAGCACCGUAGGCGAAGGGAAUUUGAGCAUCGAAGUUUCUUCUUUGCCCUUGCCCCUGGUUUUGGAAAGCUUGGUUACCUUGAGGCAGGGUGUAUUGAGGAAACAGGUUGGGAGGCUGAACUGGCAGCACUUGGGCAGGUUGGACAGGUGGAGGUAGAGCUGGUUGACUAGGAAGGGUUGCUAUAGGAUUAGGAGGAAGUGGAAGAGGUUGUUGGAGAGGAACUGAGAUUUGCAAGGGUACCUGGUUCUGGUUUGGGGAACGCUGGUAAUUCCCUCUCCUUCCAUUUCCCUGGGAAAUAGUGUUGAUUUGGUUGACACCACUAGACUUGAUGUCAGCCGUCUUCUUCUUUUGAGCACCUCCACUUUGGGAGGAGGGGGAAGAACCAUAACUCUUAGGAAACAUAGAACCAAAUAAUCCUUUCUUUAGAUUCCUCUCGAGUUGAGAGGCUCUUUCAUAAAGAUCAGGAUAGGUACUGUGACUGGGCGGAUAAGAGAUCGAAGUGGAUCUCUAAGAUUUUUGACCAGCAUCUGGACAGCUUGAGAUUCGGGUAGAGGGAUCUCGGUUUUGAUUAGAACCUCCCUAAAUCUACUGAAAAAGGCUUGAAAGUCCUCUUCAGGGCGUUGAGCUGUGUCCUGAAGAUCGGCGAUGGUUGGCUUCUUGCCAGUGAGAUAGGAGUACUGGUUGAGAAAGUUAGUGGCGAGAUCCUCGAAGGAUGUGAUGCUACCAACCGGGAGACUCCCGAACCACCUUGCGGCAUCUCCUUCAAAACUCUUCUGGAAGAGAAAAAUAAGGUUGUCCUUAUUAUCUCUCACCGGGAGAGUGUCGGAAAUGAAAAGUCGCAAGUGAUGGUGUGGGUCACCUUUCCCAUCAAACUUCGCAAACUUAGGUAUCUUGUACCAGGGUGGUAGACUUACAUUUGGACAAUGGCACAUAGCUGCCAGAGAACAUUUUUGAGUUGUAGCCGCUUGGGUGAACUCUAAGACCUGUCGCUCGAAAUCUUCCCGGGAAUUUCAGAUCCAAGGAUGAGAUGCAUUCCCGGUUGGAUGAGGAGGGGGGUUAGGGUUAACCCCAAAGGAGACUCUUUGGUCCAAGGGUUGGUCAUAGGGUCCUACAUUGGGUUGUGAAGGGUAGCCUGAGUUAGGCUGGAUAGAUAGACCAGGAACAUGGGAAGAAGGCUGAAGAUUUGCUAGACUAGGAUAACCCUGAUUGGGUUGAGAAAAAGAAUCGAUCGGGUAUAGAGGAGGCUCUUGUUGCCGAUAACCCAAGUUGGGUUGUGCCUGUUGACCCGGGCAGGGGGCGGAAGAGUCAAGUGUCAAUUGAGACAGCUGGACAUGGUUUGACCGACCGGUCAUGGGUGGAACAUGGCCUGCUUGACCCGAUGUCGAUGGCAUCUGGUCUUGGCCGGAUUGGAUUUCUUUAUGACUGACAUGGUCGGAUCUUGUCUCCCCACAAUCUCUUUCUGGUUGAGGAACCCACGUUUUCCGGUCUUAGCUUGACCGAUUCACUCAACUGAUACCACUAGCCUUGCAUUGUGUGGACUUCCCUUCCCCAAUCCAGAACUAGUCGACCUUUCAUCACAAAUUGAAGCAGAGGCAGUUGAAGAUCCAAUUGCAGAUCCCCUUUGUGGAAGCGGAACCAACUCCACGGAUAGCAUAUCCCUUUCUUUGUUUCAGUCGGGUACAAAGAUUACAGAGGAAAAGAAAAGUGGCUUCGUCAGUCAAUUGAGCUUCCGCCGGGCUCGCCCUUUUUUUUUCAGGUGAGGGAGCGGAAGCUGAGCUCGUCCUGUUCAGAGGUAGGAAGCGGGGAUGGGACAGUUUCCUUUAGUUGUUUGUUGUUCUGCUCAAAGGCGAAAUCAGACCUUCGUCAACCACUCAUCUAAUAGAGUCAGCAUGGGUCUCGGUUUUCCCGGGGACAGCUUUCUGGUACGGCUAUUGGCCUCUCUUCGUUGAACGGUGAUUCAAAGACAUAGAGUCUCUCCUUCAACAGCAAGGCAUUCACAAGGGUAUCCAUAAAAAAAAGGUAGGGAAACCAGCUAGCGCAAAGGAAGGGAGACGGGGUCAGAUGCAAUCAUGAAGGGAUCGGCCAGUUCAAAGAGAACAGAACGGUCAACUCAUCAAGCAAGCGCCGCUAUAGGGUGGAAAAGAGGAGGGAUAACAAGUCCAGAAAGGAAAGGAUAAGCCAAGCAAGAAGGCAAAGAGUGGUGCUGGGUUGAUAAGCCCUUAUUAGAUUAGGCGCCCCUCGCUCCUUCAUGAAUAAGGUUCAUCCGAGCAAGAUGAACUUUCUAGGGCUCUGUGGGCAUAGCUUGAUGGUCACGUAGUUACGGAUGGCGGUUUUUAUAUAGUAGCCGGUCACAGGCGUAGAGACCUCGUUCCAUCGGUUUAUCCGGAAAAGCCCUCAUCUCUUAAGGAAAAGGCGAUUCCACGAGGUCGAAUAGGCAAAGCGUUAUCCCCAUUUUUGAAUUCGAAUAUGCAGUUGAUUAAAUUAAGAAGAAUAUUAUUAUAUAAAAAAACUGAAUUAGAGGUAGAAGCUGCAGCCGGAGCGACAGAAGAUACAGCCAAAGAACCGGAAGAAUAGGAAUAGACUGAUCAGGUCUACGCCGCGCCGGAAACAAUGGAAAGAAUCUGCAACUCGAUCGGGAACUGCACCUCGCACGGCGCCCGCGGAGACGGCAGCAACGAGCUCAGGAAACUGAACAGCGAGGAAAGGGAAGGGAAGGACGGAGGCGGGAAAGGACACGCAAUAGAAAAAUACCAAAUGAAGAAACCUUGGCUAGACGAAGAAAACACAGAAGAUAAAAAGCUAGGCGGCGGACUCCCGCCAAAUAGCUCGCCCUUGUUUUCAGCAUGUUACCUCGCAGUGGAUCGAAGCUGCCAGUGGACUUCUUGGCAUUGCGCAAACAAAACUGCCAACCGAUAACGGCGCUGACACGCGCGCUUUCAAAUUCUGGCCUCGUCAAGCUUGAGCCAACACCUGGCGCGAAGUCACCUAAGCGACCCGACACCUAUUGAUCGAAAAGGAGUUUCACCUUUGUACCCAAGAAAGGCAGAAAGCGUCCGAUCUCUUUCUUUCCAACAACUACUGUACUAUAUUAUACAACAAUUGUUGCCUCGCUUCAUGCGGAAAAACCAGAAUGAACAUCUGUCUUAUCAGACCGCUUGAGAUCCGUUAGGGCGCCACCCCCCGUCACUUGCAGUGGUUAGCUGCACGAGCGGAAUUGAGUCUAUUCCAUGCUUACAGGCGAAUAAGCACCUUCGGGGAGUCGAUUAAGCCUCCCUAGGCUUUGGGCGGUCCAUUCCCUCGACUUUACUACUUACGCUUCUCCUCAACCGGUGCGGCCAAUCGUCCUCUUCCUUCUUCCAUCGCUUCUAUCAUCCGACAUCGAUCUCGGCUCGGCCUCCUUGACAAAGCAAUGUGAACAACGUGCUGAGAUAGGUCUAGAGGUGUCUCAUCCCCCAAAUGACAAGCAAUCCUUAGUGUCAGAAGCAAAGAGUCAACGAAGAGCACUUCUAAGUAUCCCCGCGGCCCGCCGUACAGCUAACCCUGCUCGUCGGGAUCUUUUUUUUUUCCUAUAUUUACAUGCUGCUCUGACCUCACCUCAUUGCGCUCGGGGUAGGGCAUUCGAUUACUCAUUCGCUUUGUUACGAAAGACGUAGAGAGAUGCGAGAUGCGCAGCCUUUGAUCCAAUCCAGCUUCGAGGGCCUUACCAUCCCGGUAAAGGAAUGACAGAUCCAGUUCAUCCUCAUAGCAUAGGAAGGAAUUCUUCGUCUCCCCAUGAGUACUCCCUUUCCGCAAACCCUAAAGCUACUCUUACUAGAGCGCGGUUCCUUUGGCAACUAACACUCGCUACAAAGAUGUAAACUCACGAGCAUUGAUCGUAACGUGAAUCGACGGAUUGGAAAACUUAAAGCUCGGGACAUGAAGCAGCCAAUCAUUCUGAUCCAUGGAUUUGCUUACAUUGAACGGGUAAUCACUUCGCCCAACGGAUGUCUUUCAGUUGGUGAAUAGGCAUCGACCAGUUCAUCAAUCCGAAGAUCGCAAGUCAGUGCAAUCGGGGCUUAUAGUCCGGCGAUUCGUCUUUGCAGAGCUGGCCAACCAGGAAUCAAGAGGUCAUAAUCCAUUGUCGCAUAGAAGGAGAUGUGCCCAAAUAGCAGUCUGUCUCUACAUCGUAGACGGGUUGGGAAGACGGUUAGGAGAAUUGAAAUCCUCCAUACGAUUGCCCUCCGCCCGCAGUACAGUUUAUUCUUUCCAUACGAGAAGGGGCGGUCCAUUGAAGAAAUUGGUAGGAACUGGGGAACUAACUAAACGAGGUGGCACUAUCGAAUUGGAAAACGCAAGGGCUAGACCGCCCGAAACCCUCCGUUCGAAUCAUCCUCGAUUAGUCCUAAGGAGUAACGUUAAACUAUAAGUCAACCCGAAGUGGGCGCAACCAAUCCGAAGGUCGAGGCUGCCGUGAAGCCGGUCGUUUGGGGCAAUCUUUCUAUGAGAUAAGCCGGGCGCGGGUCGAGGGAGCGGGCCCAGAAAAAGCAUCCGAAAGCAAGCCGUGCAAUCCGGGCUUAGGUCUGGUGCACGGUGUUAUCAGAAAGCCCCCCCUGCCGGGUCAUCUUGCAUGAAGGCUACCAUGUAAUGACCUCUUUCUGAAGUUUGCCAGUUUCGGUCGAGGAAGCACCCCUUUAGUGUUUGCUUUGUCCAAAGCAGAGGCUACGUUUCAGUUGAUCGCCGGCAGAGGUCAAUCUAGAGGCAGCAAUCCCUUGUCACAAACAAAGAAGGGAAUAUCUCUGUGCUCCGGGCGGUUUGAGGUCAACAGGCUGGUCUAGCGCGCAAGGGGCGACUGCCCGAAGUUCAACGUUCGUUAGGGAUGAGCUGCUCGGAUUGAGGAUAACCUCAACCCACUAGUCUGACUGUCCGAAAAUCACUUUCGUUAGGAUAGAGGGCCUGCCUCAACCCAGUUUAGGGGCUAGUUGGCAACCUGCACCCUUAGCCAUCAGUCGUACAGUAUAUUCAUUAUAUGUGAAAAAAGGUCGGCGCACCGCACUGGGGCAAGCGAGUCCCGGGUGGGAGACACUAACCAAAGAGCAACCAGUCAUAGGUGCACGCCGAGCUAACAUUCCCUUUGAAAGGAAAUGCGAGCGAUGCCUCGUUGCGCUUGAGGUAGGGCACGCUGAUAUUCUAACUAGGAAAAAAGUCGCGAUGCGAGACACGUAACAACUAGAUCCAAUCCAAAUAAGGGGCCCAACCAUCCCGGUUAAGGAAUGACAGGUCUACGUUCUGGUCCACCCGCACGUGACGGAAUUGUGCAUAGUCCGUAUGUCAUCCCGCUUCCAAACCCCGAUCUUACUCUGUCUGGGGAGCUUCCCUUAACUUUACUACUCGGCGCAAGGAUGAAACUCCGGGGCAUUGAUUCGUAACGCGAAUCGCCGGAUGUGAUUCGAUAGAUGAAUAGGCAUUGAUCAGGCCAUCACUCUGGUCGACGAAAGCAAUUCUGUGCAACGAGGGCUUAAGUCUUUGGAUGUCCGGUAUAGGAAGCAUCUCUUUGGUCUUUGGUUAUCCAGAGCAGUGGUCUUCAGCAUAUAAGUCCAAAAAAGUCUAGCGCAUGUCAUGCUCGUAACUUAGGAAGUAGACUAAACAAAUGGGAGAAGGCGUUGGUGACAAAGCCAUCUCGUCCGUCAAUUAACGAUGAAUAAGCCGUCACUCUCUAGAAGGGCGAGGCAAUCCUUCCAUCUCCAAUCAUGUGGGGGAUGUAAAGACCAAAGUCAAAGUACCGACCCAAACGGGGUAUGGAUAUACAUAGAGGAAGCUAGCAGCGCGUCAGAAAUCCACUUUUCUAAAUAGCUACCCGCCGAAAGGAAUACAGACAAGCAUUGAACCGUAAAGUGGUUCGACUGACGGGGGAUAAGGAGACAUUCAUCUGUAUUGUCAGAACAGAUCAACGGAGGCAUACCGUGCCACCGGGGGUGACGGGAGCGCGCCGUACUGUAUGGAGGAAGGCAAGAUAGCUACCAAUGCCAUCCAGUCGAGCCCCAACCACUGACCUCAACCCGCACUAAAGAAUGCUCGUAUAUAGGAACCGCCCAUGUUAGUCUUUGGCUAUACAGACAGUAGUUAUAAGCAACUAUAAGUAAGCCGAUUUCGCACAUCACAUAACCGAAAGAGGUCGGAGUUCGUGUAACUCAGAAAGUGGGACAAAACAAAUUGAGGAAGGAAGUGGGAGUUCCUUCCGUUUGAAAGAACUUCCUUAUGUUAACAAAGUGGGAGCCGAGUGCUUCGUUUGAUGGAAGCACGAGGUGAGCUUCAAUGCUUUCUUCUCUUCCUUAGCGUUAAGCGUUUGGUGAGAGAGUUGCUUUAACGCGUUAAUAAGGGUUUAUUGCACCCGCCUCAUUCCCUUGACGCGAUCAGGUAAUUUCAUUAAUGUGCUUGGAUUUUUAUUCAUCAGAGGUGCGGGCAGACGGAUAAGGAGAGCAAGUUCGUCCCAUGUCGUUCUUUUCCUUCUUUCUUCGAAGCUUAAAGGUGGAGUCUUUUAGAGUUUUUUUUUAAUAAUACCAAAAUGCUCUGUCGUAAGCCAGCUUUGAAAGCUAUCCAUGAGCCGCAGGAACGGAACAAUUUGCAGUGGUGAAAGCGCGCUACUGAGGCAUCAUCCGAAGCGGGAAGAUUCUCCUUUUCUUUAGAUAAGUUCUAAUAAAAACGGUAGUGAAAGGGUAGUAAGGGAUUUUUUUCAUCGACCUUGUAGUCGUUAUCUCGCCGUAUGAAUUUGUUUGUAAAUGCGGGUUCUUACCCCUUAUUCGUCAGUAUGAGAUUAUUAAGAGUCGCGAAGGAAGGUUCCCCGAAGGGAGCCGGGGUAGGAAGGAAUGUUUAGAGAUGGAGCGAAAGACCGCACUCGAGGCAGAGAGCGCUCGAAGACUUUCCUUCCUUAUUAGGAUGUAGAUCGAGAUCGAGGGUAAGAAGCUCCAACUCAAGUUCGAUAAUGACAUUUUAGCAGCCUGUAACACGUGUUAAACAUGGGCGAUGGGUGGGGAAGAGAAUCGGGAAUGAAGACCACAAGGUAGAAAUUCUCCUUGCCGAAAGAGAUCACUCAGAAGGGCUUAAAUCUAACUCCGAAAAUGGAGAGUUUUGAUCCUGCCUGAGGCAGAAAUGGAGCGAAAGUCACAAUUCCACGAUUAGGGAUCAGGCUUGUCAACGAUCUUUUGUGGGAUCUGGGGAAGCGCUUUUCUUAUUGAAAAAAAUAGGUAAAUCUAAACUUUCGACCCCUGAAUAACCCAUCUUUGGAGGUACACCGGCCGUGCCACAUAAAGCGCUUCAAAAUGGUCAUACUAAAGGAACGGUGGAAGACCUAUUUGAGUGAUCUUUCUUCGAAUCUGCUUCUUCUGAGCCCAGCCACCUUUUGGCUCGCUCUGUAUACUCUACUCGUUCCCUUGCUUUCGUCCUCCCAUUCAUGCAUGAAGUAGAUCCACGAAAAGGACAUCUUCUAACUAGAAAAAGAAGAGUUUUUACCCCUUCCAUCCCCGGGACGGAAAAGCCACGAUUCCGCGGUUAGGAAUCGAGCGUGUUAGCGGUCUUUUCCGGGGCUUGAGAACAAGGGUUUUGAUCCAUCGAUUGAAGAAGAGAAUAGUAGGAAUUUACCCCUCUGGUGUGUAACCAGAUGUUAUUGUAACACUUUCAAAGGGCUUGGUUCCGGCUUAAUCGGACGAAGCGGGCAAGCCAGCCUUAGUAGCACCUAUGCUAGUCCACUACUGAAUGAUUAUGAUACGCCAUCUCGAGAGAUUGUUCUCUACCGGGACUGGCAUUACACACCAGCAGAGAUCGGGGAAGACGUUCCACAGCUGCUUGUGAGCUAGACUUGCCUGUCUGAUCACCUUAUGAGAGAAUCAAUGAGAGUAGCGGAUAGGUAGGCGGCUCAGAAAAGGCAUUUCCCAAGCUUUUUGGGUGCUCCAACUGAUGGUUCUCCCCACCUCUUUCUUUGAAGCAGAAAGGCAAAGAGCUGUUCGCGGUUCCUCUGUGAAAACUCAAAGGAAAUAUAUUCGCAGAAGCUUCAGAGGCCAUACAGCGAAAGAUUCCUUUAAAUAGCUCAUCACGAGAAGUAGUCCUUUGGUUCUAGAUUUGUUGGUCUUCCUUCCCAGAUUCCCUUUCCCGGGCCAGCUCAACUUAGAAGGGCAGUACCCGUGUACUCAACUAUCAAUCUUAGUACAUUUAGCAUAUCAUUUAUUUUGAUAAUGUCGAGGAGGCCAUCGAGUCCAGUAGUCAUUGAUCCGCCCAAACUAGUGUAGUAUUUACAAUUCGCUUGGGAUAACCGCUAGUUACUAUAAGAGAGUAGCAAGGGCAGAGCUGCUCCACCCGAAGCAGGGACAAGGGGCAAACCAACAGCAUAUCUUCCAUCUCGAGAUGGUGAUUUAGAUUCACGAAGCUAUAAGCACCGGAGCGAGCACCAAUAUCACUUGAAUUUGAAGGAGCAGAAAGACCUGGAAAUGUUACAAGUUGAUCUUUUUGCGAAAUACAUUUGAAGGUGGGUCGAUGCCCCUGUGAUUUUGACCAUCGGCAGUCCUGGCCAUGUCAUAAAAGGCAGAAAUGGCUAUGUGAAAUAGAAUAUUUUUCCCCAUUUGAUCUUUUUCGGACCUUCUGACCCCACCCUGAACCGCUCAUAAUCGGUAUCAUACAUAGCCUGUUCCUGGGCCAAUUGAUCCAGUUGGAGCUUAUCGUUUUCCUAUUGAAGAAUCGUUUUUUCCAGUUAAGUUAUUUAUCUAAGGCUCAAGGGCAAGAAAUGGCUCUACCUACUAUACCAACGGAGCAAAGCCCUUUCCAUACGCUAUCGAUUGGUAUAGCUCAGAAUGGUUCUGGAUCGAUUCCACCGGAACUUCAAAACGAUUACUGGCCGAUGUUCCGGUAUGGCGGGUGUAGAAGUAUACCAUUAUAGGGAGCUCCGUCCAUACCAAUGGUGGAGUGAAAAGCUGUCGUGAUUCAUCUCCACCUGCCAACCAUGGGAACUUACUUAUGAAUCUAACUCUUUUGAAUAAACCGUCGGCUCAUGGAGCUACAGGGAAUGAUACUGACAGAGAAGGGUAAACUCCUGCCAUAGUUAUUAUGUCCCCAAACUCGACAGUUUUUUGAUCAUCCCCCCUAGCUCACAUGGAGUAUGUUACGCCUUCCAAUGGAUAAACGUUAGUACCCGUGGAUAGAGAUGUUUUCCCAAUGAUUGAUAGAUAUACCGGGGAGAUAGUUUGGCAAGCAAGAUCUUCUACUGGAAAUGAAGCUGUCUUCUACGGGAGAAACUUCGUCGGAUAGGCCGGAGUGAGGGAGCCCAGUAAUAUAUAUAAUAAAAAAGUAUUAUAUAUAUUAUAAGAUAUAUAUUACUUUAUAAUAUAUAUAUAAUAAUAUAUUUAUAAGAUAUUAUAAGAUAUUAUAAGAUAUUAUAAGAUAUUAUAAGAUAGUUAGUUAAAGAUAAAGAUUACUUAUUACAAAAUUUUUAGUCCCUUCGUUCCCGUCUGAGAGACUGACAUCAGACUUGUAGUCAUUCCGGGAACCUACAAGACCUUGUCGAAGUAGAAAGAUUGUUCCCUCUCUGAACAUGAAUGGCGCUCUAUCUAUUCCUUCAACCCUAUGUUGACUGCUGUCAAGAUUGAUGCAGGAAUGAAAUUAAGAAAAGACCUUUCUCCCGUGUGCCAUGUGCCUUGAAGCUCCAGAGUCUAUGAUCCAGUCCAUGCUAUUUGCGUGAUGGAAAAUAGUAGGAACUGGACGUCGGAAGAAUCCGCAAAUGAAUAUUCUUUAUUUCCUCUCGGACAGGCCCUCUUUUCUCAUUCGAAUGGACAUCUCUUUCGGUAAUGAUCAUCUACAACUGAAAGACUGACGUCUUCCUCUACUCGAUCCUUAGUUAGACUAUCUCCCUCCACCUCGAUUCUUCUGAUCCUCAUAGCCGAACUCCUUUUUUAUUCGCGUCCUCCCCCUGGAUCUAUUCCUGCCGCGUCCACGUCCUCUGCCUCCAGCAACUAGAGCUGCAUCAUCUUGCUCAUUAUUGAGAAUAGGCCUCUCCUCACACCGUACCAGUUCAUCGAUAUGCUUCAUGCAGUUUCAUCUUCCCGUAUGAAUCCUACUUCUUGAGUGUAUAGAUGCAUUUCAAAAUUCAAUCUAUUCCCACGUCACUCUUCUCAUAACAUAUCCUGUUCUCCUAACUUUUAUCCCGGAUUCACCGGUUGAUUUAAGACGGGGUUCUAUGCUUUCUAGCCCCAUUUGACAAAAGUGAGCUUCCCCUAUCUCUUUUGUAGGAAUCAGAUAGCAAUGCUCAUUCAUAAAUAGCUUCCGCAACUUCGUCGGAGAGAUCAAUGGAAACUCAUAAAAGCGGACGGCAUUGUUCAUACGAUCGCCGGAAAAGUCAGUUCUCACGCCGGCUAUUCAAAAAAUAAAGAAAGACUCUUUCAUAAACUUCAUUUUUUCGAGUAUAAUAGCUCUUAUACGCUUGUACAGAGGAGUCUACAACAAUGUCCAUAUAUAGGUGCUUUGUAUCCUACAAAAACAUUAACAUCCUAAGCACCGUAAGCUUGCUUUCUCUCCCGCUGACAGACAAAGAAAAGAUUGAUUUAGACUAGUCUAUGGUAGGCCUACGCUAGGCUUUUGUAUAUAUUUAUUGUAUGAUCGCUUAGCUCUCUCUACUCUUUGCUUAAGCUAUCGUGUCGUGUAGAUGGAUGACAUCUCCCUAUUCCCACAUCCCCGGAUAUGAUUAAUGCAUGGAAACUAAUUAAGCUUCUUCGGCCCAAGAUGCAAUCAUUUGGACUCCAUCCGAAUAUGGGAGUUUCACUCUUAUACGGCUUGGCUCUGGAAAAUUUUCUUGGGCAAAAAAAACAUAAAAAAAAAAAGAAGAGCUUCUUGUUUCCAAGCGGAACUCGAAUGGGCUGCUAGCAGAUUUGUUGGAGAUGGCAAGUUAACACCGUGGGGCCUUUCACUCGCUCUGGCACAUUUUGGCGGAACGUAAACGUUAUAGUAGAAUCUUUGAGGUAAAUGAUGUUUAAAAAAAGAAAAAUGGAAAAGAGGAUUUGCGAAGAUAUGCAGAUUAGAAGCUAGUAUCUCCAGCUUUAUGAGAAAGAAGACGAAGAAUCGGCGAGCAUCCUAGCCAAAUGGGACUUGUGUCUCAAUCCGAUCAAAAAGAAACAUAUUGUGUGUUGACCACCGGGAAAGGAAUGGAUUAAGAUUAAGACGGACGGUUCAAUUAGCGAGCAUGGGAAGGCUUGUGGAGGUUUAGCAAGAGACGACAAAGGGGAUAUAUGCGCUCUCUCAAGCAGUUAAGAACAAGACCAUACUCGAAGUCGAGCUCUUUUGCAUCUUCCAAGGUAUGAAAAUAGCAGCUGAAAAGGAGUGUCAGAGGAUUUGGAUUGAUUCGGAUUCCCUAACGUAAGACAUGGUCUACUCUCAAGAUCCAAAAGUCCGCAGCUAAGGAAAGCCUCUUCUUCAUAAGAUCAAGAAGGUACUCGCUAGUUUCGAAGAUUUGAAAAUCUCCCAUACUUGGAGAGAAGCAAACCAACCGGCCGAUUUUAUGGCAAGCUUUGACUAUGCGGUUGGUAGUAGACAUAUUUGGUCUUCACAUUUUCCCUUCCAUUUUGUAAAGUUAAUUGAAGAGGAUAGAUCCGGGAAAUUGUAAAUACGAAUGUCAAUCUUCAUAUUGAUAAACUAUAUACAUUGGUAGGGGUCGAUCAGGCUAAUCCCAAAGCUUACCCCCGAACAGCUGCCGGACUGCUCUACUGACCUUCUCUCUCUUCGAACUCACUGAACCUUCUCAAAGACUCCUUUUGCACUGAUAACACAAUUCAUCACCGUCCUUCUCACAAGAAGGCAAACCUGGUACGUUGAUCGAAUCUUCUUUCGCAUCCAGAAGAGAGGCAGUGGGCUAUCCGAGAGAGUGGUUCAGGUGACUACCGGAGUCAUUGAUUAAGCAGGUCAGAUGGGCUUAGUAGGGCUCGAACCUACAAUAUCACCGUUAUGAGCGGUACGUUUCAACCAAUUAAACUAUAAGCCCCUACGGAUCUCUACAUGCAAUUCCUUCGGGAAGAGCGGACAGAAAGAGGAGACCUUUGCUCUAUCUGCUUCUUCCUCUUCCCGGGGCCCC
rnacentral:lncRNA from 1 species